UUCAUCGACGCGAAUCGUACACCUCUUUAUUUUCCACUUAUCCCAAGUUUUUUCUAUCGAUCAUCUACCUUGUGUCUCACGCGUCGCAUUGAUACAGCAUCAGCGUCUCUCCGUAAGACUUCUUAGCAAAAUAAAUUAUGGUUAUUGCGAACUAUUUUGUAAUUAUACGCGUGACUAACGCUCGAUAAGGCAAUAGCUCAUGGACGAAGGAAAACAAGUUAGCGAAACAAACAGCACGUCCUAACUUUUUUCUCAUCGACACGAACGAUUCAUUGCGGUACGAGUGAAGAACAAACGAUUCAAUAGCAUAAUCAAAUGUACUGUCACUGUACGGCCAGUGAAAAGAAUAAUAAUAUCACGAGUGGCAAGCGUUUGCCUGAUUCUCUGUGUCGUAGGAAACGGGCAAAGCGCGCGCUACGUAAUUAAUCGCAACGAGUCGGCCAUGCAAAUCGAUUCCAACGACCGGUUUUCGCCUAAGGUCGUGUACUGAUGUAACGAGACCGCUCCGUAUAGGCUGGUACCACGACCGCGACUUUGCAUUUCAGAAGCAUAAUAGACAGCUUCCCUUGCCUGCCGUCAAACGUAUCUCCGUUACACUCAAUGAACUGAUCAGACAAUUCAUACCGUCUCAACGACCGUUGCUUUCGUCGUUGAAGGAGUCAUCGUUGCUCAUCCGAGACCACAGUGUGGAAUCCCUUCUGCGCCACGGGACACGCCAAUCAGCUGGUAUUGCUGUACUUCGACAUCGCGGAAUACAACGCUGCACAACAAGCGGCGCAAUACACCUGUGCUGGCAUGCAAAUGUACCGAGGGACCGGUUCGUAAAGGUCGAACAUUACACCGAGGUCGUUUUCUCUGCAAUAGAACGCUAGAUUCUCCUCUCGGUUCAAUCUACGACUCGCCCGCCCCCAGGAGCGACAGGAACUCGUUGAAGAAGGCUAGAGGGCACCGAAAGUUUCACGAAUCUGGUCGUCAGCCGAUACGAAAUUGGAGCGACCUCAACUGGCGAGCGCGUAAUUGCCUGUCGCGGAAAAGGAUGCUUUGACGUGAUGCGAAAAGGGGGCCAUCGUCGAGAGGAAACGAAAGAAAAAGGAGCCACCUUGCCAUCAGGAUAUGGCCAGAGACCUGUCAUUUGCGCUGAACUCGUCACCGUCAUUUCGUAAUUACAUUCGAGCUACGAACCUUCAUAUAGAAAAGCGACCGCGGAGAAAAGAGAUCAACGAGGAUUACUUCCAGGUGGAUUUUACAUUAAGAAGGAAAAAACACGAUUAGGUGUAAAAUGAUCCAAAGGACGACAGGAUUACAGGAGUAUUCAGAAAAUUUACGAAGAUAUCUGCAGUCUAGCCAUUGAUAUUUACAGUAACAAUUAAUUCUUGUCGUCGUAGUAUUCGAAAUAAAUAAAUUCAAUUUGUGGAAAUCAAUUGAUUAGAUUGAAAUUUUUCCCGCAAAAAGGUAGGAUACUGUGUUGUUUAGUUUCUUGAAAUCGAAAUCAACAUGCUGACACAAGUCCUUAAAAUAUUCUGUUUUUUUUUUUUUAUAUAUUCUAAUCUAACCUUGAUAAUUUCAGAGAAGACGUUAGCCACGACUUCAUAACAGGUUUCCCCUUAUACUAUUUCGGGGAAGGUAAUAAAGUAGAAUGAAAAAUGCGAUUUUACUCGAUUAUUUCUUAUAAUCAACGAACAUAAAUAGCUGAGUCUCAAUCAAGAAGAUAAAUUUUGUAAUGUAUAAGGGAAGUCAUGCAACAAAAGCAACUGAAAUCAACUUGCUUCCUACAUCAUUAACACUGGUUAUUUGGAAUUGACGCGUUAGUAGCUUGAUAAUCAUCAUACAAUAUACUAUCAUUGACAUUCACUAUCGUUUGCUUUUAAUAGUUUAUCGGUUAAAUGAUAUUUGAUUUAUUAUAAUUCACUUAUUAAUUCAGUAAGAAGCAACAAGUAAUGUAAUAAUAUACUAAAGUUACGUAAAGUUGCAUUUAUUAUGUAUACAUUACUGGAAAACACACUGUUUGCAUAUUGCUCGUUAAAGUAUAAAGUAAAAAAUCUAUUAGAAUAAUAUAUACUUUACAAAAACCCAUUAUAUGAAUCAGAAACGCAAAAGGAGUUUCCAUGAUUUAAAAAAGCAUUUGGCAUAUUUAGUUCCUUCGAGCUUUAUAAAAUCAUGAUGUUCAGAUAGAACAGAAAAUAGUGACAAAAAAGAAAAAUGUUAAAAAGUUAAGAAAUUAGCUAAUGUAAGGUAACCGAAGCAAAAUUAUAAAUGAAACAUUCUUCCUUAAUGGGUUAAUCUGCGUAAAUAAAAAAAAAUAAUAUAUA